AUUGAACGCUGGCGGCAUGCUUUACACAUGCAAGUCGAACGGCAGCGCGGGCUUCGGCCUGGCGGCGAGUGGCGAACGGGUGAGUAAUACAUCGGAACGUGCCCAGUAGUGGGGGAUAGCUCGGCGAAAGCCGGAUUAAUACUGCAUACGACCUGAGGGUGAAAGCGGGGGAUCUUCGGACCUCGCGCUAUUGGAGCGGCCGAUGGCAGAUUAGCUAGUUGGUGGGGUAAAGGCCUACCAAGGCGACGAUCUGUAGCUGGUCUGAGAGGACGACCAGCCACACUGGGACUGAGACACGGCCCAGACUCCUACGGGAGGCAGCAGUGGGGAAUUUUGGACAAUGGGCGAAAGCCUGAUCCAGCAAUGCCGCGUGUGUGAUGAAGGCCUUCGGGUUGUAAAGCACUUUUGGCGGGAACGAAAAGGACUGUGCCAAUACCACGGUCCGAUGACGGUACCCGCAGAAUAAGCACCGGCUAACUACGUG
rnacentral:rRNA from 1 species